ensembl:snoRNA small nucleolar RNA, C/D box 11B
CGACUGUGGUGAUGAUGACGACUCUAGUCUUCGCCCUGAAAGCGUACCGUGUGGGCCUUCAGUCACUACCUCAUCUGAACAGUCC